rfam:Schistosoma rodhaini strain Burundi genome assembly, scaffold: SROB_scaffold0004744
AUCCAGCUAACGUGUCCCAAAUAGGACGAAACACGCGUCAAACUACAU